GUUGGACGGCGACGUUGGUGACUGCCAAUAACGUUUUUUGAUCUAUGCCUUUUCCUUAAGGGAACCGACACGUCUUAGCGGCAGUAAACCGGGCAAGUACCCGGAAACUUUAAGCAUGGACAACUGGUACCCACCUGGUUCAAACCAGGUCAUAAACUGAGGUAAGACGGCGUUGCGGUUCAGCU
rnacentral:other from 1 species